rnacentral:rRNA from 1 species
AUGCCGCGUGUGUGAAGAAGGCCUUCGGGUAGUAAAGCACUUUUGUCAGGAACGAAACGGUGGGGGCUAAUACCUCCUGCUAAUGACGGUACCUGAAGAAUAAGCACCGGCUAACUACGUGCCAGCAGCCGCGGUAAUACGUAGGGUGCGAGCGUUAAUCGGAAUUACUGGGCGUAAAGCGUGCGCAGGCGGUUGUGCAAGACAGAUGUGAAAUCCCCGGGCUUAACCUGGGAAUGGCAUUUGUGACUGCACGGCUAGAGUGUGUCAGAGGGGGGUAGAAUUCCACGUGUAGCAGUGAAAUGCGUAGAUAUGUGGAGGAAUACCGAUGGCGAAGGCAGCCCCCUGGGAUAACACUGACGCUCAGGCACGAAAGCGUGGGGAGCAAACAGGAUUAGAUACCCUGGUAGUCCACGCCCUAAACGAUGUCAACUAGUUGUCGGGUCUUAAUUGACUUGGUAACGCAGCUAACGCGUGAAGUUGACCGCCUGGGGAGUACGGUCGCAAGAUUAAAACUCAAAGGAAUUGACGGGGACCCGCACAAGCGGUGGAUGAUGUGGAUUAAUUCGAUGCAACGCGAAAAACCUUACCUACCCUUGACAUGUCAGGAACCCCGCUGAGAGGUGGGGGUGCUCGCA